rnacentral:lncRNA from 1 species
ACAAACUUAUGGCCAAAAAUACUGUAUUUUUAACCAGCAAGAUCAUUGGGGCAUUAUUAUACAACAUUAGGUGUUUUUUUUUUUGCAAAACUAGUUCCCAUCCCCAAACAAUAGACAAUACAUGCAUUUGAAUGACAUUUUAAGAACAGUAAAUAUGAUUCUUUUAAAUACUGCAAGUUAAAAAUGUUUUCUGACAAAACUCCCUAAAUACAUAAGUCUAGGAAGGGUUUCCAACAUGAUGACAGGUGAGGAAUCCAGCAAGUUGCAUUUAGAGAGUUCUUUGAGGAAAAGAAAUCCACCAAAAACAUGUGUUUCAGUCAAAGUAACCUGAACAAAGUUACAUAGUAAUUUUCCAUCUUUCUUUUCUAAAUUUAAAAAUAUUGUACUGAAGAAUAUCUUCCUCCCUGUUUUUUUUUUUUUCUGUCUACCAAAGCUUAUAUGGAAGUUAGAAUUCCUUCAUCCAAGUGAGAUCCAAUUUUACCCAUAGAUGUUUUCAUAACGUGUACAUGUUGUUUACUAUUGGGUUGGAAUCAUACAGGGAAAUGGAGGAUCCAUGGUAAGGGAGGUAAGAAGAAAAUUAAUACUUGAGCACCUACUAUGUGCUAGGUGUGUAUGCAUACUUUGAACAGAUGAUUCUAGAGGCAAGAGGGUUACUGAAGAGCAUUGGUAGUUGAGACAGCAAGAAAUUGUUAUCCUGUGAGAAAAACAAAUGGCAACUUUAUACUAAGUAUCUACGAAGCAGCAGGUGCCUGGCUCCAAAAAUCUCUAGCUAAUCGUAUACAACUAAGCCAUUUCUUUUCCUAAAUUGAUGGAAUCAAAAUGAAAUCCCAAAGACAUAGUUACCAGGACAGAUCUAUUAAUGCUACAUAUGCUGGAAAUAUGUAGAGAUAGAUAAACAUACAAUAUUACUAGUUUCAAUUUUUGUGUGUUUCUAACCAAAGAAAAGUCUUUGGAAGAAAAUAUGUAUACCAAGCACACCUUAUCUGUCAAUUGAGAUGUUGUCAAUUACCAAUUAAGUGGUUUUAAACCCUUAUUUAAUUUUAAGAAGAGCAGCAAUAUACGUUACAAUAUUUGGGUACACUUUAUUUUUAUAUGGGUUAACAUUCUGCUAUAUUUCAUUUCAUUCAUUCUUUUUGAGAAACUGAAAACAAAGGGAAAUUGAGGGUAACUUGAAGAUUAUUUCCAACCAGUAUCUGAGUCUUGCAGUAUCUCAUUAUGCAGCCCUUUCUUGACAAUCAAGAUAGUCUGAAGUACAAAAAGUAAAUUGUCCUUUAGCUGAAUUACCUUUUUAAAUAUCAGACCUGCUAGCUAAUCUACAAAAAAUUACAAGUUUCGGUGUUCUUCAAAUACCUUUUGUAGAUGUCAUCUGCUAGUAA